rnacentral:rRNA from 1 species
GACGAACGCUGGCGGCGUGCUUAACAUAUGCAAGUCGAGCGAUGAAAUUCCUUCGGGAAUGGAUUAGCGGCGGACGGGUGAGUAACACGUGGGUAACCUGCCUCAUAGAGGGGAAUAGCCUUCCGAAAGGAAGAUUAAUACCGCAUAAGAUUGUAGUUUCGCAUGAAACAGCAAUUAAAGGAGUAAUCCGCUAUGAGAUGGACCCGCGUCGCAUUAGCUAGUUGGUGAGGUAACGGCUCACCAAGGCGACGAUGCGUAGCCGACCUGAGAGGGUGAUCGGCCACAUUGGGACUGAGACACGGCCCAGACUCCUACGGGAGGCAGCAGUGGGGAAUAUUGCACAAUGGGGGAAACCCUGAUGCAGCAACGCCGCGUGAGUGAUGACGGUCUUCGGAUUGUAAAACUCUGUCUUCAGGGACGAUAAUGACGGUACCUGAGGAGGAAGCCACGGCUAACUACGUGCCAGCAGCCGCCGUAA